rnacentral:tRNA from 1 species
UGUCAGGUAGUCUAGUGGUUAGAACUCACCUUUUUCAAGAUGAAUAAAUGGGAUGUCCGGGGUUCGAACUCUAGCCCUACAU